GCCGGGGUGGUGGAAUUGGUAGACACGAUGGACUUAAAAUCCAUUGAGCCUUCAACGCUCGUGCCGGUUCAAGUCCGGCCCUCGGUACCA
rnacentral:tRNA from 1 species